GACCGCAGCGCGUAGUUCCAGCGGCAGAGUCCGCCCUGGUCCUUGAGCGCCUCCACGGCGCCCACGCUCAUCGCCACCAUCCACGACGCCUUCGCUGCACCCGCCAUUGAUCGAGCUCUCUUCUUUCUUGCUAAGAUCGACCGGAUUGUCCUGUGGUUUCUUGCUCCUGAUUUGGUUUGCAGUAGAGUUGUUGCAAUGCUGAGUAGUUGAUGCUGUGCUGGUGAGAAAGAGGGAACUCGGGUUAUAUAGAGGAGGGUGUGGAGAGGAGAACGACGGGUUGGGCGAAACAAGGAGGCGCCGCGCGUUGGUUUCCCAGGAUACCGGGUGCUUUGCUCUGCUUGAUUACGC
rnacentral:sRNA from 1 species